GGGCCCGCACAAGCGGUGGAGCAUGUGGUUCAAUUCGACGCAACGCGAAGAACCUUACCCAGGCUUGAACAGCGAGGGACCAUUCCCGAAAGGGAACUUCCGCAAGGACUCUCGUAGAGGUGCUGCAUGGCUGUCGUCAGCUCGUGUCGUGAGAUGUUGGGUUAAGUCCCGCAACGAGCGCAACCCUUGUUUGCUGUUGCCAUCACGUUAUGGUGGGCACUCUGCAAAGACUGCCGGUGAUAAACCGGAGGAAGGUGGGGAUGACGUCAAGUCAGCAUGGCCUUUAUGUCUGGGGCUACACACGUGCUACAAUGGCCGGUACAAACCGUCGCAAAACCGUAAGGUCGAGCUAAUCGGACAAAGCCGGUCUCAGUUCGGAUUGUAGGCUGCAACUCGCCUGCAUGAAGUUGGAAUCGCUAGUAAUCGCGGAUCAGCACGCCGCGGUGAAUACGUUCCCGGGCCUU
rnacentral:rRNA from 1 species